rnacentral:rRNA from 1 species
AUUGAACGCUGGCGGCAGGCCUAACACAUGCAAGUCGAACGGUAACAGGAAACAGCUUGCUGUUUCGCUGACGAGUGGCGGACGGGUGAGUAAUGUCUGGGAAACUGCCUGAUGGAGGGGGAUAACUACUGGAAACAGUAGCUAAUACCGCAUAACGUCGCAAGACCAAAGAGGGGGACCUUCGGGCCUCUUGCCAUCGGAUGUGCCCAGAUGGGAUUAGCUAGUAGGUGGGGUAACGGCUCACCUAGGCGACGAUCCCUAGCUGGUCUGAGAGGAUGACCAGCCACACUGGAACUGAGACACGGUCCAGACUCCUACGGGAGGCAGCAGUGGGGAAUAUUGCACAAAGGGCGCAAGCCUGAUGCAGCCAUGCCGCGUGUAUGAAGAAGGCCUUCGGGUUGUAAAGUACUUUCAGCGGGGAGGAAGGGAGUAAAGUUAAUACCUUUACUCAUUGACGUUACCCGCAGAAGAAGCACCGGCUAACUCCGUG